GACGAACGCUGGCGGCGUGCUUAACACAUGCAAGUCGAGCGGUAAGGCUCCUUCGGGAGUACACGGGCGGCGAACGGGUGAGUAACACGUGAGUAAUCUGCCCUUCACUUCGGGAUAACCACCGGAAACGGUGGCUAAUACCGAAUACGACCAGUCUUCGCAUGAGGUGCUGGUGGAAAGUCUUUUCGGUGAAGGAUGUGCUCGCGGCCUAUCAGCUUGUUGGUGGGGUAAUGGCCUACCAAGGCUUCGACGGGUAGCCGGCCUGAGAGGGUGACCGGCCACACUGGGACUGAGACACGGCCCAGACUCCUACGGGAGGCAGCAGUGGGGAAUAUUGGACAAUGGGCGAAAGCCUGAUCCAGCAACGCCGCGUGAGGGAUGACGGCCGUCGGGUUGUAAACCUCUUUCAGUACCGACGAAGCGCCCUGUCGGGUGGUGACGGUAGGUACAGAAGAAGGACCGGCCAACUACGUG
rnacentral:rRNA from 1 species